rnacentral:rRNA from 1 species
GCGCACGCUGGCGGCAGGCCUAACCCAUGCAAGUCGAACGAACCUUUCGGGGUUAGUGGCGGACGGGUGAGUAACACGUGGGAACGUGCCUUUAGGUUCGGAAUAACUCAGGGAAACUUGUGCUAAUACCGAAUGUGCCCUUCGGGGGAAAGAUUAAUCGCCUUUAGAGCGGCCCGCGUCUGAUUAGCUAGUUGGUUGAGGUAAUGGCUCACCAAGGCGACGAUCAGUAGCUGGUCUGAGAGGAUGAUCAGCCACAUUGGGACUGAGACACGGCCCAAACUCCUACGGGAGGCAGCAGUGGGGAAUCUUGCGCAAUGGGCGAAAGCCUGACGCAGCCAUGCCGCGUGAAUGAUGAAGGUCUUAGGAUUGUAAAAUUCUUUCACCGGGGACGAUAAUGACGGUACCCGGAGAAGAAGCCCCGGCUAACUUCGUG